UGGGGAAUCGUACAACGGCAGUACACGUCCCUCUGGAGGAUGGUAUCUUGGUUCGAAUCCAGGUUCCCCAG
rnacentral:tRNA from 1 species